rnacentral:lncRNA from 1 species
CAUGUAAUUACAACUAGAACCCAAAAAUUUCAACAAAUGCAAAAACUUCAUUAAAGGAGCAAAACAAUUUAUCCUUUAGCGUUUUUGGACCUAAACAUAAAAACGUAAACUUUUGAGCCAAAGUGCAAAUACACAAAAGUAUCAAAACUUUAUGUAAUUGCAUAAAAGCCCAAAAAGUACUCCCAUUGAGGGAGUGGCCGGUUUUGGAGAGGUGAAAGGAGUGAUGUGUGUGUUGAUUGGUAAGUUUGACAUAAAGCAUGCAAGUGGUGCAAGUGGUGUGUGUGAAAGAGAAUUAAUCCUUACACACACACCAAUAAUUCCUUCACCUUUCUAAACAAAUAUCUAAUACAUUUAAACAUAUGAAAAACAUAAAACAUAAACUUUAUGAAAUAAAUCAAAACUUUGAAUCAAAACACCAAACUUUUUGUUCUUGGCAAAAAUGUCAAGAACAAUGAAGAACACUCAUGAAAAACAUCCCAAAACCAUUCAAACUUAAGGGAAAUAACAUAUAACCAAACUAGGGUACAGAGGGGUUCCAAAAGUCACUUGAAAACAUUUUUAACAAGACAAACAUGAACCCAAAAAUCCACCCUUUAGAUUUGGCCGAAUUUUCCCAAAAACAUGGCACCAAAUUUUAGCUCCAAUAUUCAUGCUUAUAUGAACUACAUCUACAACAUUUGAGAUGGCAAAUUUUCUAACAAAAUUUACAUUCAAAGAAACAAGAAUAAAGCUUGUAACAUAUUACAACUUUUAAAUCAAAGACUAUGAACUACAAAACCCAAAAGGAUUCACCAACUACUAGACCUAGGCUCUGAUACCACUUGAAGGAAAUUUUGUGAAAAACAUGUUCAUUUGAGCAACAUCUAUAGCAUGCAAUUAACAAAUUUAAAGGCGGAAUCAUGCUUGUAUGCACGAAAAAACAAAACAUUACCCAUGAAAUUCAAAGCCUAGUAGCUUGGUGAACCUUGACUCAACGUAAAACAACAUUUGUUAGUUGAGAAAUUAUACCUUUGUAGAUUCCUCUUUGCAUAAGCAAAGGCUAAUCACC